rnacentral:rRNA from 1 species
AACGAACGCUGGCGGCAUGCCUAACACAUGCAAGUCGAACGAGACCUUCGGGUCUAGUGGUGCAUGGGUGCGUAACGCGUGGGAACCUGCCCUUAGGUUCGGAAUAACUCCCCGAAAGGGGUGCUAAUACCGGAUAAUGUCUUCGGACCAAUGAUUUAUCGCCUUUGGAUGGGCCCGCGUUGGAUUAGCUAGUUGGUAGGGUAAAAGCCUACCAAGGCGACGAUCCAUAGCUGGUCUGAGAGGAUGAACAGCCACACUGGGACUGAGACACGGCCCAGACUCCUACGGGAGGCAGCAGUGGGGAAUAUUGGACAAUGGGCGAAAGCCUGAUCCAGCAAUGCCGCGUGAGUGAUGAAGGCCUUAGGGUUGUAAAGCUCUUUUACCAGGGAUGAUAAUGACAGUACCGGGAGAAUAAGCUCCGGCUAACUCCGUG